ACACGCGCACACAGACACACACACACACACGCACAUACGCACACACGCACACGCGUACACACGCACAUGCACACACGAACACACGCACACGCGCACACACGCACACGCACACACACGCACACACGGGCGCGCACACACACACACACACAUACGCACACACACACACACGUACAUACACACACACAAGCACACAGACGCGCACACACACACGCACACACACAAGCACAGACACACGCACACAGACACACAUACAC
rnacentral:lncRNA from 1 species